AGCAGCCGCGGUAAUUCCAGCUCCAAUAGCGUAUAUUAAAGUUGUUGCAGUUAAAAAGCUCGUAGUUGAAUUUCGGGAUCAAUUUAUCGGUCGUACCAAUGGUAUGAACUGGUACAAUUGGUUUCUCCCUUCUGACGAAGCAUAAUGUCAUUAAUUUGGUGUCGUGGGGAAUCAGGACUGUUACUUUGAAAAAAUUAGAGUGUUUAAAGCAGGCUCACGCUUGAAUACAUUAGCAUGGAAUAAUGAAAUAGGACGUUUGAUCCUAUUUUGUUGGUUUCUAGGAUUGACGUAAUGAUUAAUAGGGAUAGUUGGGGGCAUUAGUAUUCAAUUGUCAGAGGUGAAAUUCUUGGAUUUAUUGAAGACUAACUACUGCGAAAGCAUUUGCCAAGGAUGUUUUCAUUAAUCAAGAACGAAAGUUAGGGGAUCGAAGACGAUCAGAUACCGUCGUAGUCUUAACCAUAAACUAUGCCGACUAGGGAUCGGAUGAUGUUAAUUUUUAAUGACUCAUUCGGCGCCUUAA
rnacentral:rRNA from 1 species